rnacentral:rRNA from 1 species
CCUGCCCGGUGACUUACGUUCAACGGCCGCGGUAUCCUAACCGUGCAAAGGUAGCAUAAUAACUUGCCCAUUAAUUGUGGGCUAGAAUGAAGGGAUUAACGAAAUAAAAACUGUCUCUAUAAGUGACUUAAAAAUUAAUCUCUAACUGAAGAUUGUUAGAUUAUAUCGAAGGACAAGAAGACCCUAUAGAGCUUUACCUAGUAAAAAUUAAAAUUUUUUUUUCAGGUUUGGUUGGGGCGACCGGGGAAGUAAUCAAUCAUCCCUAUUUAAAAGAUAUAUAAGUCUCAUUAUUGACCCUUUAUAAAGAUCACAAGACCAAGCUACCUUAGGGAUAACAGGCUAAUCUCACUAAAGAGUCCUUAUCAAUAGUGGGGUUUGGCACCUCGAUGUUGGCUUAGGGAAUCUAUGUGGCGCAAAAGUCACAUAAAGAUGGUUUGUUCAACCAAUAAUCCCUACAUGAGCUGAGUUCAGACCGGCGUGAGCCAGGUUAGUUUCUAUCCUCGAUAUUAUAACCUAUUUAUAGUACGAAAGGACCUAAAUAAGGAUAAUAAUUAUAACCAAAGAACAAAUAUAAUAUAAGUUAAAAAGACUAGUACAUAUAAUA